rnacentral:piRNA from 1 species
UGCUGAUUUGUGUGACCUGAACUGCCGAU